rnacentral:tRNA from 1 species
GCCUUCAUAGUGUAAAGGCAGUACACUAGGCUCGUAUUCGAGAUGUCCAGGGUUCGAGUCCCGGCGAGGGCA